rnacentral:rRNA from 1 species
CCUACGGGAGGCUGCAGUGAGGAAUAUUGGUCAAUGGCCGGGAGGCUGAACCAGCCAAGUCGCGUGAGGGAAGACGGCCCUACGGGUUGUAAACCUCUUUUGUCAGGGAGCAAGGUGCAGGUCGGGACCUGCUGUGCGAGUACCUGAAGAAAAAGCAUCGGCUAACUCCGUGCCAGCAGCCGCGGUAAUACGGAGGAUGCGAGCGUUAUCCGGAUUUAUUGGGUUUAAAGGGUGCGCGGGCGGAGGCGCAAGUCAGCGGUAAAAUUGCGGGGCUCAACCACGCUUCGCCGUUGAAACUGUGUGCCUUGAGUGCGCGAAGGGUAGGCGGAAUGCGUGGUGUAGCGGUGAAAUGCAUAGAUAUCACGCAGAACUCCGAUCGCGAAGGCAGCCUACCGGCGCGCAACUGACGCUCAUGCACGAAAGCGUGGGUAUCGAACAGGAUUAGAUACCCUGGUAGGC